rnacentral:rRNA from 1 species
GCUGGCAGCUAGCUCUCCGCACCUUUCACAUGGUCGCCAUCUGAAGCUAGGCAGGGCUGCACCCGGUCAUUACUUGGACGGGAGACCACCUGGGAAAGGUUGGUUGCUGACGGAA